CUUACCCACCUUUGACAUGUACGGAAGUCGCUAGAGAUAGCUUCGUGCUCGAAAGAGAGCCGUAACACAGGUGCUGCAUGGCUGUCGUCAGCUCGUGUCGUGAGAUGUUGGGUUAAGUCCCGCAACGAGCGCAACCCUUGUCAUUAGUUGCUACAUUUAGUUGGGCACUCUAAUGAGACUGCCGGUGACAAACCGGAGGAAGGUGGGGAUGACGUCAAGUCCUCAUGGCCCUUAUAGGUGGGGCUACACACGUCAUACAAUGGCUGGUACAAAGGGUUGCCAACCCGCGAGGGGGAGCUAAUCCCACAAAGCCAGUCGUAGUCCGGAUCGUAGUCUGCAACUCGACUACGUGAAGUCGGAAUCGCUAGUAAUCGUGGAUCAGAAUGUCACGGUGAAUACGUUCCCGGGUCUUGUACACACCGCCCGUCACACCAUGGGAGCGGGUUCUGCCAGAAGUAGUUAGCCUAACCGCAAGUAGGGCGAUUACCACGGCAGGGUUCGUGACUGGGGU
rnacentral:rRNA from 1 species